GAUGAACGCUGGCGGCGUGCCUAAUACAUGCAAGUCGAGCGAACAGACGAGGAGCUUGCUCCUUUGACGUUAGCGGCGGACGGGUGAGUAACACGUGGAUAACCUACCUAUAAGACUGGGAUAACUUCGGGAAACCGGAGCUAAUACCGGAUAAUAUUUUGAACCGCAUGGUUCAACAGUGAAAGACGGUCUUGCUGUCACUUAUAGAUGGAUCCGCGCCGCAUUAGCUAGUUGGUAAGGUAACGGCUUACCAAGGCAACGAUGCGUAGCCGACCUGAGAGGGUGAUCGGCCACACUGGAACUGAGACACGGUCCAGACUCCUACGGGAGGCAGCAGUAGGGAAUCUUCCGCAAUGGGCGAAAGCCUGACGGAGCAACGCCGCGUGAGUGAAGAAGGUCUUCGGAUCGUAAAACUCUGUUAUUAGGGUAGAACAAAUGUGUAAGUAACUAUGCACGUCUUGACGGUACCUAAUCAGAAAGCCACGGCUAACUACGUG
rnacentral:rRNA from 1 species